CGGGUAAUUUGCCAAGAGGCACGCGUUCCCUGCUCUCAUUGUAUUUCAUUGUAUUUAGCAUAUACUCAUGUUUCCCAGUUUUCCCUGGUAAUUCCAGUCUGACUAGUCAGACCCUGCUCUUCUCAGACAGAAUACGUCCACCGCCAUUUUGUUUCCUCUUGAUUGUACUUUUAAGGAUGAUGACCACAAAUUUUAAUCAUAAGAACAUCCAAGAGAGUAUUCCAGAGUCAAGACCACCAUGUAAACGUAACCCAUCUUUCUGCUUCAUAUUUCUUCUCAUUCUUAGUGUGUGUUUUAUUUUUUAUUUUUACACUUAUGACUUUUCUACAAACAAAAUAUUUGAUAUGCUGAGGGACCUGCAAAAUUCAACACCGGCAACAACAACAGACAUGCCAACAGCAGCACCAACAUUGAAAUCACUGCAUCCAUACUUUGUGGAGUAUCCACAUAAAUAUGACUUCAUUGUGAAUGAAGAGCAUCGCUGCCAGGAGGAGAUAACCUUUUUGGCCCUGAUGGUACCAGUGGCGCCGAAUGACCACGUGCAUCGGGAAGUCAUCCGUAAAACGUGGGGCAGCGAGAGGGUGGUGCUUGGUAAAAAUGUGACUCUAUUCUUCCUGCUGGGUUUGCCAAGUGGGGAGGACAGAGAGAACAUGCAGCAGAAUUUGCUCCUGGAAUCUGCAGAACACCAUGACCUGCUGCAGAGUGACUUUGUGGACAGUUACAACAACUUAACCAUCAAGACCAUGGUGAUGCUGGAGUGGCUGAAUGCCCACUGUCCUAAGGCCACGUUUGCUAUGAAGAUAGACUCAGAUGCGUUCCUCAACGUGCCAAACCUGGUGAAACUGCUCCUGGAAGCUCCACACAAAAACUACAUAACUGGUCUUGUGAGAUACAACUCCCCUGUGAUCUCUGCAGCAAGCUAGUUGAAGCAGCUCAGCACGUUAGAGCUGUCUACAUAGAGGACGUCUACAUUGGCAUGUGCCUGAAACACCUUGGCAUCUUACCCACUUACCCACCCAACUGGUCAAGGUUUUAUGUGAGUACCCCAGAGCCAUACAACUGCAGUCAUUAUCCAAAGCUGAUUCUUUCCUUGCCUCACAACCCCAGUCAUCAAGAGAACCUCUGGAAGAAUCUCCAGAGUCAACAGUGUUCAUGAGCCAGAUUGUAUUCUGUGGGAUGGCCAAAUUCGUUUACCAAAUAUACUUGACAUGAGAAUAAGAUGACAUUGACUGUGUCAAUACCAUUUAAUUUAAUCAGUAAUUAAUGAUUAUAAUUAUAAUUAAUUAAUUAUAUAUAUAUAUAUAUAUCAUUUUUUGCAUUUUUUUUCUCUCCCUCUCUCUCCUGUUUUCCUGCUCGCUCCUUCUUCUCAUCUAUUGUCUCAUACCUUGAGAGACUCUGAACUGAGGAAAUCAUGAAUUUAAUCAAUUGGUCUGUCAGUGUGAUUGACACCAUUUUGUCAUAGAAAAAUCCACAUUCGGGGGAACCUGAGUGUCCUUCUGGAUUGUAUGCUGCAGACAUGUUGGUGCUCAGACUGUGAUGAUCGAUUGCAGAUUGGCCAACAUCACUGUGACUAUUGAUCACAAUUGGAUACCAUCUUGAAGAAAUUCACAGCUCUGCACAGAAUGUUGGCUGGAGACCAGCGUUGACACUGAUCUGGAACUUCACAUCUUUAAGCACGGAUAACCCAAACAACCCAUCCUAUCAGUUUUUGGCCUUUCCUAAUCAGCACUGGCCUCGGCCGUGGCCGUUGCUGAUCCAAAACACCCCCGGAGGUCGGGGGCAGCAAGACUCUCUCUCCACCAUCCCAAGGACAUCACCACCCCCCCCAUCCAAUGCCUGCGUCAGCUUCAAACCCCCAGCGUGGAUGGGUAGGUCUGUUGACCAGUGCCUCCAGUGGCUGCAGGAUGAAAUGGCUUGUUGUUUAAGAUAAACUGUUGCGAGUGACUUUUUAUGUUGUGUACUGGCCAUGCGCUUGUGUGCCGAGGUGUUUUCAAUUCAGUUCCUAGAUUCUGUUAUCUAGGUUUUUUCCAUAUCCCCUAUCUUCCUGAACUGUCUACCCCCAUGUGAUUUUUGUGUAUAUGAAUGCUCAGGUUGAUGGCCAGUUUGUGAUUAGUGACAUGGUGUAUUGCAACAGCAAUAAAGGGUUUUCCUCAUAUAUCA
rnacentral:lncRNA from 1 species